rnacentral:rRNA from 1 species
UACAGAGGGGGCCAGCGUUAUUCGGAAUUAUUGGGCGUAAAGGGCGCGUAGGCGGCCUGGUCAGUCGGAUGUGAAAGCCCGGGGCUCAACCCCGGAACGGCAUCCGAGACGGCCAGGCUGGAGACCGGGAGAGGAGAGUGGAAUAGCCAGUGUAGAGGUGAAAUUCGUAGAUAUUGAGUGGAACACCGGUGGCGAAAGCGGCUCUCUGGUCCGGACCUGACGCUGAGGCGCGAAAGCGUGGGGAGCAAACAGG